AUGAUUCUAAAAGAGUCUGUGGGAGGUGGAGCAGGUGGAGAGCACAGGGGCAGGUGGUUUAGACAGAAGAGCAAGACUAAGAACCCUGCUGGAAGUGGGAGGCAUGAGAAUGUAGCAGCAGCUUUCCCUUUCUGCCAAGGGGUAGUGGGAGCAACUUAUGUCAGCUUCCCAAAAGGAAAAGACAGAAGAGGACUGUUGUAUUGCAUAAGCUCUAGACUGCACUCCUCCAGCACCACUCCCAGCAGAAGCCGUUUGGAUGUGCCUGUGCUUAUUAAAGCUAAAAAACAUACCUACAGCUUACAGGCCCUGGUUGACCCCCUGUGUAUGCAGAAAUCUUGGUUUGGAUAUUUUUUGGUUCAUUGGUUGGUUUUACUCUUCCAUAAAACUGAAUUGCCACAGCACAUUGAAACGAAUAAGCUCUCGCUCUCUGAUCCAAAUCAUGUUUCAAAACAUUGCUAAGUCAAUGGAAAGCUCUGUCUGUGCCAUUUACUUUUCAGUAAAAUUUCCAGCUCACCUGAAAAGUUCAGAAGUGUAGCACUGAUCCACAAUGAUACCUUCAAACAAUUUGAACUAUUUGCAGGAUCCUGAUUUGCCAGCAUUUUUCAGUUGCUAAAUCAGGAAAGAGCUGCCAGUAGAUGCUUGGAGGCUUUAUUUUGCUAAUAAGAAAUGACUGCAGCACCCCAGAAAACAGUCAAAGUCAUUCUAUAAAUAGCGAAGGUUUCUGUUACAAAAUGCAUUUGCAUAUAUUAAAUCAAGAUGCCACAAUUAAGGUAACAAAUUCUGAUGAGUGCACAGAAAGAAAAAGUGAUGAAUAAACUCAACUGCACACAGUCCUGGGAGAAGUAC
rnacentral:lncRNA from 1 species